CCUACGGGGGGCAGCAGUGGGGAAUAUUGCACAAUGGGGGGAACCCUGAUGCAGCGACGCCGCGUGAGUGAAGAAGUAUUUCGGUAUGUAAAGCUCUAUCAGCAGGGAAGAAAAUGACGGUACCUGACUAAGAAGCCCCGGCUAACUACGUGCCAGCAGCCGCGGGAAUACGUAGGGGGCAAGCGUUAACCGGAUUUACUGGGUGUAAAGGGAGCGUAUACGGUUAUGCAAGUCUGAAGUGAAAGCGCAAGGCUCAACCAUGGGACUGCUUUGGAAACUGUAAAACUGGAGUGCAGGAGAGGUAAGCGGAAUUCCUAGUGGAGCGGUGAAAUGCGUAGAUAUUAGGAGGAACACCAGUGGAGAAGGCGGCUUACUGGACUGUAACUGACGUUGAGGCUCGAAGGCGUGGGGAGCAAACAGGAUUAGAUACCCUUGUAGUC
rnacentral:rRNA from 1 species